UACAGAGGUCUCAAGCGUUGUUCGGAUUCAUUGGGCGUAAAGGGUGCGUAGGUGGCGGGGUAAGUCAGGUGUGAAAUCUCGGGGCUCAACCCCCAAAACUGCAUUUGAUACUGCCUUGCUCGAGUACUGGAGAGGAGAUUGGAAUUUACGGUGUAGCAGUGAAAUGCGUAGAUAUCGUAAGGAAGACCAGUGGCGAAGGCGAAUCUCUGGACAGUUACUGACACUGAGGCACGAAGGCCAGGGGAGCAAACGGG
rnacentral:rRNA from 1 species